rnacentral:rRNA from 1 species
AUGAGCUACGCGCCCUUCUCCUCCCUCUCCUGCGCGCCUCGCUGCCGUCUCCUCCGCCGCUGCGCCAGUUCGCCACUGCGCCGACGCCGCCGGCGACCAUCCCGGCCAACCUUCGUCGCCGGUCAUCCUCCAGCAAGCCCCGUCUACGCGCCCUGCAUCCUCGACCUUCCUGGAACACCGGUCGACGCCGAUGUCCCUUGGUUUCCCUCUGUCUUGUCUGUGCUCUCCUUGGAGCAUAGCACCAUGGCGCCUGAUCUGCUCCAGCCGCUAUCGGAUUCUUCGCUGCUGCUCUUGUUUUCUGUUGCUGCAUCUCCGGCCGUCCUCGUCGUUCGCAGACGACCGAGCCCGUUGGCUCCUGCGAUGCUUGCUGCUGCCGCUGUUUUCCUAGUUCAAACGAACACACCUCCACCGAAGGCCACCAAGACCGUCCAAGAUUCACCAAGUACAACGCCGUCGGUGCCCCUCCAAGUUUGA